ensembl:misc_RNA Y_RNA Y RNA
GGCUGCUUCAAGUGCAGUGGUGGUUUACGACUAGUUGGUCACAACCAGUUACAGAUUUCUUUGUUCCUUCUCCACUCCCACUGCUUCACUUGACUAGCCUUCU